UGCUUGCCUUGUACUAAAAUCUUGCAGAGUAUGCUACACUGGCCAAUAAACUCCCAAGUGCAAAGUAACAGAAGAUCAGCCUCUUACAGGCGUGUGUUGGUAGUGUUGCUGAGCUUGUUUUUGAGCCAACGGACAAUUUUUGUCAGUUGGAUGACUUACAUUCUGAACUGUUAACAAUCUCCACCCACUUUUUAAAAUCACUUCCUGCAAUAGGUGGGAAUGUAAAGUAGACCAAUCCUACAUCUGUGAGCAUAGACCCAUGAACAAUUUCUAGCUAUGAUUUUGGCUUUCUAGCUCCAAAAGAUUUUAAAAACCCAGCUCCAAGUAAAUGCUCUGCCCACUUUAGGCCUCCUUCAGCCCUGCACACUGUAUCCACAUGUGUACAUGCAACAGUUUUUUCUUUAGUUGUGUAGCCUACAGUCUGGGAGAAAGUCUGCUUGUGCCAUGUCCCCAAACAUUUGAAGAAAUUGAUCAUUCCAUCUCUUUCUUUGCAAUGGAUGGAUUUUUCUCAGUGCACUGUCUGGAAAUGUAUUUUGCCCUGCUUUGCUUCAUGUCUUCCUCAAACACUUCUGUAAAAAUUUGCAUUCUUAUGAUAUAUA